rnacentral:rRNA from 1 species
GAUGAACGCUGGCGGCGUGCUUAACACAUGCAAGUCGAACGAUGAUGCCCAGCUUGCUGGGUGGAUUAGUGGCGAACGGGUGAGUAACACGUGAGUAACCUGCCCUUUACUCUUUGAUAAGCCUGGGAAACUGGGUCUAAUACCGGAUACGACCAUCGGGCGCAUGUCAUGGGGGUGGAAAGCUUUUGUGGUUUUGGAUGGACUCGCGGCCUAUCAGCUUGUUUGUGGGGUAAUGGCCUACCAAGGCGACGACGGGUAGCCGGCCUGAGAGGGUGACCGGCCACACUGGGACUGAGACACGGACCAGACUGCUACGGGAGGCAGCAGUGGGGAAUAUUGUACAAUGGGCGCAAGCCUGAUGCAGCGACGCCGCGUGAGGGAUGACGGCCUUCGGGUUGUAAACCUCUUUCAGUAGGGAAGAAGCGAAAGUGACGGUACCUGCAGAAGAAGCGCCGGCUAACUACGUG